rnacentral:rRNA from 1 species
AUCAAAAGCGGAGGAAAAGAAACCAACAGGGAUUGCCUCAGUAACGGCGAGUGAAGCGGCAAAAGCUCAAAUUUGAAACCCUCGGGAUUGUAAUUUGAAGAUUUGGCAUUGGAGAAAGCUAACCCAAGUUGCUUGGAAUAGUACGUCAUAGAGGGUGACAACCCCGUCUGGCUAACCGUUCUCCAUGUAUUGCCUUAUCAAAGAGUCGAGUUGUUUGGGAAUGCAGCUCAAAGUGGGUGGUAAACUCCAUCUAAAGCUAAAUACUGGUGAGAGACCGAUAGCGAACAAGUACUGUGAAGGAAAGGUGAAAAGAACUUUGAAAAGAGAGUGAAAUAGUAUGUGAAAUUGUUGAUAGGGAAGGAAAUGAGUGGAGAGUGGCCGAGGUUUCAGCCGCCCCUCGUGGGCGGUGUACUGCCGACGCCGAGUCAUCGAUAGCGAGACGAGGGUUACAAAUGGGAGCGCCUUUCGGGCGUUCUCCCCUAACCCUCCACACUGCCACCGACGACAUAAUCCACCCAUUUCACCCGUCUUGAAACACGG